rnacentral:sRNA from 1 species
GAACGACAGAGAUAAUGAUGGUUAUGAUAUUGGUGAUGAUGUGCAUUUUACUUAUGUCAUCAUCAUCAUUAUCAUCAUCAUCCUAAUCUCUG